GGCCACCAUUGUUAGGUCACCGAAGCUCUCCCUCUCCCUUUCUACUCCUGAAUCAACCACCUCAAAUCUACCAUCUCUCAAUCAGAGUUUCUUCACUCCGUUACCUAAACGACGUCGUUGUAUCUCGAUCUACGCAUGUAGCGCUGGUGACCAGAGUAACAGUGCAUUUGGAGGUGAAAUUAAGAAAGGACAAGCGAUUGAGCUGAAUAAAGUCAAUGAUGAGAAUCCUUAUGAAUUUAAUGCUAAGGAUUCACCUAAUCCCUUGCCUAGGCCAUUAACUUCGGCUGAUUUGAACAAUAUGGCUUCUCAAGGUUCUCGUCUUCGGGUUGCUUAUCAGGGUGUGCGUGGUGCUUAUAGUGAAUCAGCAGCAGAGAAAGCAUACCCCAACUGUGAAGCAGUUCCGUGCGAACAAUUUGAUACUGCUUUUGAAGCUGUUGAAAGGUGGCUUGUUGAUAGAGCAGUUUUACCAAUAGAAAACUCUUUAGGGGGGAGUAUCCACAGGAAUUAUGACCUUUUGCUGAGACAUCGUUUACAUAUAGUUGGAGAAGUCAAACUAGCAGUUCGACACUGUUUGCUGGCUAACAACGGCGUCAAAAUCGAAGACCUGAAAAGAGUUCUUAGUCAUCCGCAGGCUCUUGCUCAGUGUGAGAACACAUUAACGAAGUUGGGAUUGGUCAGAGAAGC
rnacentral:misc_RNA from 1 species